UGGGGAAUAUUGGACAAUGGGCGCAAGCCUGAUCCAGCCAUGCCGCGUGAGUGAUGAAGGCCCUAGGGUUGUAAAGCUCUUUCACCGGUGAAGAUAAUGACGGUAACCGGAGAAGAAGCCCCGGCUAACUUCGUGCCAGCAGCCGCGGUAAUACGAAGGGGGCUAGCGUUGUUCGGAUUUACUGGGCGUAAAGCGCACGUAGGCGGACUUUUAAGUCAGGGGUGAAAUCCCGGGGCUCAACCCCGGAACUGCCUUUGAUACUGGAAGUCUUGAGUAUGGUAGAGGUGAGCGGAAUUCCGAGUGUAGAGGUGAAAUUCGUAGAUAUUCGGAGGAACACCAGUGGCGAAGGCGGCUCACUGGACCAUUACUGACGCUGAGGUGCGAAAGCGUGGGGAGCAAACAGG
rnacentral:rRNA from 1 species